AGGGACGCCGCCUUGUCCGGCUAAAACAGGAUCAAUACCAGUUGAAUUAAAAAAGGACGCAGAGAAGGAACAAAGAAGAAGAAGAAGAAGAAGAAGAAGAAAAAGAAGAAGAAAGAUGCUCGAACUAAAGUUUGAAAAUUUUAAAUACGUACUGAUUCUUAAGGGUAGUUGAAGAAGUCGAACGAAGUGCUCGCAGCGUCAAGUUCGAUAUUUCGGCACGAGUACUUUACUGUUUACAAAGAAAAGUAUGAAUGGGAGGAGACUUUGAAGGAUCCCGUAGCUAACGACGGGUUCGUUAGACCUAGUGCACCUUGUAUUUACCGAUUAUCGAGUACAAUUAUAGCCCUUGCUAGUGGGAAGGUAGAACUAGCAUACAAAUACAGUUUUCCCUCGAGUAGGGACCUACAGUUAUAUUUGGCUCUUUUUACGAAGGGAUCUAUACAAUGAUACAGAUUACAUGAUCUUUAUUUGGUAAUCCUCCAAAAUAUAAAGAUUUGCUAUGAGACGGUGUUUACCGAGUUUAUUAAACUGAUUUUUAUUACAGGAACCACAUGAAUUGACUAAUUAUAUUUACUGUUUUUGAGAGAGCAUUUUAUUUUUAUGAUGGUUCUAAUUAUUAUUAUUAUUAUACAAGCAUAUUUUCUGACUUGUCCCCAAUUUAAAACAGUUGUGGUUAAGUGCUAUUAGUCACUUAGCUAGUGACUCAAUCCCCGCUAUUUCUUUUACAGAGACAUCAA